rnacentral:lncRNA from 1 species
GAAGACGGAUUGCGAGGCGCUGAUUCGGUGGGUUCAAGUGCAGCAAGGAGCCAUAUGUUCAGGAGACCCGGGCCCGAGCCAGAAGAUUGGUUUAUGACAGCUUGGAGAACUGGGAACUGGAUCAUGCAUGAUGAGAAGAAGCCAGGAUUAUUCCACUGGUUGAUCCACCAAAAACCACCCACAUAUGAUCCUGGAAUGCUGACUCUUCCUCUUUCAGCUCAGGAGACCGUCACAGCGGAUCUGGAGCUGUAAACCAUCGCUCGCCAGAACACGAAAUGUCCAUCUUCCGUCGAGGAAACUGACCUGCAAAGUCCCGAUGAUGGUCGUUCCAGGUGGUGCGAAAGGAAGACACAGAGAAAAAAUAUAAAUCACUUCAAUUCUUUAUGCUGGGACUCAUGCACCAAAUACACACCUUAAGGGAUUUUAGGUGAGCCUCUCAUAUCCAUGUAUUAACUGCAGAGAGCAUUUGACACAAGCCAACAUAAAGCCAACAUGCAAAAAAUGUUUGUGGCUGAGCAUAAAGGAUUGAUUAUCGGUCAGAGAAAGGUGGCGCGGGUGCAAAGUGGAGCCGGUUCAGAUGAGACUAAGGUGAAUUAUACGAGGCUCCAUCGUGCACCUCUGCUCAUUACGCCCAGCGGUAAUUAAAUUCAUGCACUGAUAGGAUCCACUGCCUUUCUGCCGCCUGCUUUUUCUUCUGCACUUUGUCACUGUGGCAUUCUAUGAACGGGGAGGGGAAGCAGCGCUCACAGCUUUGGAACCGGCUGCAUGCACAUUUGUUAAUGUUACUCUAAAAGUGAUCUUUGCGAAACUGACGCAUCUCUUUUAAUUAAAAUCAUGUCCUGGAACGAAAUCAGGAGCCUGAUUCUGAUGCAUUUGAUUCUAACGUGGCUGUGAUAAAAGCACAUGUUGAUCGUCUGUGACUCUGUUAUUUCCUUUUGCUUUGUGCAGAGACCAGUCAGUUUAUGGUCUGUGAUUGGGUCAGUUACUUUUCCCUUGAAGCAAUAAAUGUUGGAGCAUUUGCA